rnacentral:rRNA from 1 species
CCGGCGAUUUCCGAAUGGGGAAACCCAGUGUGAUUCGUCACACUAUCAUUACGUGAAUACAUAGCGUAAUGAAGCGAACCGGGGGAACUGAAACAUCUAAGUACCCCGAGGAAAAGAAAUCAACCGAGAUUCCCCCAGUAGCGGCGAGCGAACGGGGAGCAGCCCAGAGUCUGAAUCAGCUUGUGUGUUAGUGGAACGGUCUGGAAAGUCCGACGGUACAGGGUGAUAGUCCCGUACACCAAAAUGCACAGGUUGUGAACUCGAAGAGUAGGGCGGGACACGUGGUAUCCUGUCUGAAUAUGGGGGGACCAUCCUCCAAGGCUAAAUACUCCUGACUGACCGAUAGUGAACCAGUACCGUGAGGGAAAGGCGAAAAGAACCCCGGCGAGGGGAGUGAAAAAGAACCUGAAACCGUGUACGUACAAGCAGUGGGAGCCUCUUUAUGGGGUGACUGCGUACCUUUUGUAUAAUGGGUCAGCGACUUAUAUUCUGUAGCAAGGUUAACCGUAUAGGGGAGCCGAAGGGAAACCGAGUCUUAACUGGGCGUU